rnacentral:rRNA from 1 species
GACAGAGGGUGCAAACGUUGUUCGGAAUUACUGGGCGUAAAGGGCUCGUAGGCGGCCAACUAAGUCAUACGUGAAAUCCCUCGGCUUAACCGGGGAACUGCGUCUGAUACUGGAUGGCUUGAGUUCGGGAGAGGGAUGCGGAAUUCCAGGUGUAGCGGUGAAAUGCGUAGAUAUCUGGAGGAACACCGGUGGCGAAGGCGGCAUCCUGGACCGAGUACUGACGCUGAGGAGCGAAAGCCAGGGGAGCAAACGGG